GUGCUCACUUCGGCAGCACAGAUACUAAAAUUGGAACGAUACAGAGAAGAUUAGCAUGGCCCCUGCCCAAGGAUGACACACAAAUUCGUGAAGCGUUCAAUUAAAA
rnacentral:snRNA from 1 species